CACGUGGGCCCCGAGGGUGUAGAGCAAGAGACAGCGGUGUCAGGAGCAGCCGCUCGGAGACCUUAGCGAGACUGAGCACGCAGCAGACUCCCCAAGUGCCCUCGAGUCCAUCCAGCUGACGGCCCUGUGACCCACUUGCCCACACCAUGCAGCCCCAGUCUGUUCUGCACAGCGGCUACUUCCACCCACUGCUUCGGGCCUGGCAGACAACCGCCACCACCCUCAAUGCCUCCAACCUCAUCUACCCCAUCUUUGUCACGGAUGUUCCUGAUGACGUCCAGCCUAUUGCCAGCCUCCCAGGAGUGGCCAGGUAUGGUGUGAACCGGCUGGAAGAGAUGCUGAGGCCCCUGGUGGAAGAGGGCCUGCGCUGUGUCCUGAUCUUUGGCGUCCCCAGCAGAGUUCCCAAGGAUGAGCGUGGCUCUGCUGCUGACUCUGAGGAGUCCCCGGCUAUUGAGGCAAUCUGUCUGUUGAGGAAGACCUUCCCUGACCUCCUGGUGGCCUGCGAUGUCUGCCUGUGCCCCUACACCUCCCAUGGUCACUGCGGGCUCCUGAGUGAAAAUGGAGCAUUCUGGGCUGAGGAGAGCCGCCAGCGGCUGGCAGAGGUGGCACUGGCCUAUGCCAAGGCAGGAUGUCAAGUAGUAGCCCCAUCAGACAUGAUGGAUGGACGUGUGGAAGCCAUCAAGGAGGCCCUGAUGGCACACGGAUUUGGCAACAGGGUGUCAGUGAUGAGCUAUAGCGCCAAAUUUGCUUCUUGUUUCUAUGGACCUUUCCGGGAUGCGGCUCAGUCAAGCCCAGCCUUUGGAGACCGCCGCUGCUACCAGCUGCCCCCCGGAGCACGAGGCCUGGCCCUCCGAGCGGUGGACCGAGAUGUACGGGAAGGAGCUGACAUGCUCAUGGUGAAGCCUGGAAUGCCCUACCUGGACAUUGUGCGGGAGGUCAAGAACAAGCACCCUGAGCUCCCUCUCGCUGUAUACCACGUCUCUGGAGAGUUUGCCAUGCUGUGGCACGGAGCCCAGGCCGGGGCAUUUAAUCUCAAGGCUGCUGUACUAGAGGCCAUGACCGCCUUCCGCAGAGCAGGUGCUGACAUCAUUAUCACCUACUACACGCCUCAGCUGCUGCAGUGGCUGAAGGAGAAGUGACGGGGAGAGUGUGCAAGACCCAAGAACUAGAAAUUUAAAAAGUUCCUGGGGCCUUGAAGAAGUGAAAACCAAAGUGGGGAGACAGAGCCACAAGCAACUUGUCCAAAAUCACAUAGCAAGCCAGUGGCAGACCAAAGCUGCAAUUCAGGUCUCCUAACUCCAAGCCCAGUGCUCCAAACUGGGGAAGGGAUUGGUUCUAGAGGGACUUUAGCAUUAUAUGUAUUAUCAUUAUUCAUGUAUUAUGUACAACAAGGAUAUAUUCACGUAUGUUUGUGUAAAUAAAAAUAAAUAAAAACGUAUACAUAAAAAA